rnacentral:rRNA from 1 species
GUGCUAUACAUGCAAGUCGAACGUGAAAAGGGGCAACCCUUAGUAAAGUGGCGCACGGGUGAGUAACACGUGGGUAACCUGCCUUUUAGUGGGGAAUAACACAGCGAAAGUUGUGCUAAUGCCGCAUAAGUAAGCAAUUAAAAAGAGGGCGUCCGCAAGGAGCUCUUGCUGAAAGAAGGGCCCGCGGCCUAUUAGCUAGUUGGUGGGGUAAUGGCCUACCAAGGCUACAAUAGGUAUCCGGUCUGAGAGGAUGAUCGGACACACUGGAACUGAGACACGGUCCAAACUCCUACGGGAGGCAGCAGUAGGGAAUAUUGCGCAAUGGGGGAAACCCUGACGCACCAACGCCGCGUGAGUGAGGAAGGUCUUAGGAUUGUAAAACUCUGUUCUUGGGGAAAAAUGAUACUUUGGUUAAUACCCUUAGUAAGUGAUGGUACCCAAGUAGAAAGCACCGGCUAACUUCGUGCCAGCAGCCGCGGUAAUACGAAGGGUGCAAGCGUUGUUCGGAAUCAUUGGGCGUAAAGCGCGCGCAGGCGGAUCAGUAAGUCAGGUGUGAAAUCUCGAAGCUCAACUUCGAAACUGCGCCUGAAACU